AUGGACCCGGGCCGCCCAUCAGCAGGGCACCACGCAGGCACGGCCGGUUCCGGUCGAGAUCGGUCUCGCUCGCUCUCAUGUCACGGACGCGUGCGUGAGGGGGACGAAUGGUCCUGCGACACAGCGACCCCGGGCGAGACGAGACGAGACAAGAUGCGUCCGGUCCAAAGUCUGCAAUCAAACAAACGCACACGCACACAUCCAUCGGUCACCAGUUCCCAAACGCACCCGGCACCGGCCGUGCAUCGUGGACCGGGCGAGCGCUGCGUGCCAACGGCCGUACGUGUCGCUGUACCGGCCGGGCCGGCGCAUGUGAAGACGCAGUCCGUCCGUCCGAGCGUGCACGUGAACGGGGCGCCAUGUCCAUGUGCCGCCGUCCGCCCGUCCGUACCCGAGGUUGGGGGUUGGACGGCACGGAGGAGAGCGACGGUGCAUGCACGCGCGCGCGCCGAUACGGAUGCAUGCAUGAUCUCGCGCGCGCGGGCGGCAUGGGAGGGGGGUAGAGACGCCACACGGGGCACGCCGGAGCGCGCGCGCGCGCGCGCACGGCCCGCGGCGCCUCCGAUUAUAUGCGUCCCUGCGUGUGUGCGCGCGCAGCUGGCGUGCUGGUCGGCUGUACCAGGCCCCAUGCAAAGUGCGUGCACCGACGGCGGGGAUUGCCCGCGGGCUCGCGCGGCGUGUGACCAACCAACCGGCCGGCGGGUGGCGUCGGUGGCUGCUGCUACACUCGGGGAGCAGGGCGUCAGUCUGUACAGUGCAUUCGUGCAGAUGCAGGCAGGAAGUCCCUCUCUGCUCCUGCUUCAGCAAGCAAAUGUGGUGGCACCGAUCGAGUGUACGUUGGCGCCCACGAACGCCUGCUUCCUCGUCGUCUUCUCCGUCUCAUGCCAUGCACGAUGCGUGUCGACAUCGGAUGGCAAGACCACCGCGGAGGCCGCUAGCCUCUCUGAGAGUUUUGGAGGGCUGGUUCUGACGGACAAGGAGAGGCAAGGGUUUAUCUUCUCAGAUCCAGGGCUCCAAGCGAAGACGGUGAAGUGGUCGGCGGUGGGGAAGGUGUUCUCACCGAGACCUCUCAAGAAGCAUGGUAUGGAAAGAGCAAUGCCACGGGCAUGGGGACUUCACAAGGAGGCAAAAUUCAAGGAUAUUGGCAACAACAUAUUUGAGGUGAGAUUUGGCUGUGAAGGGGACUGGCAACAUGCAUUGAACAAUGGUCCAUGGCAGUUUGAUUUCCAUGUGCUUGUGUUGAAGGAAUAUGUGGGGGAUGUCUGCCCUUCGGAGAUGGUUUUUGAUACAAUGGAGAUGUGGGUGAGAGUCCUGGAUCUGCCACUUGACAUGAGGACGGAAUCCUUUGAUAAGUCUUUGCGUGAUUGGUUGGGAGUAGUCAAAGUGGAUGUCGAGAAAGAUGGUUUUGCUAAAGGGAAGUAUCUUCGAGUGCGGGCCAAUAUUUCAAUGUUUGAGCCUUUGAUCCGCAGAGCUCGUCUAAGGACCUCACUGGUGGACUUGGAGGAGACGUGGUAUGAUUUUACGUAUGAAAAGAUCCCGCACUUUUGCUUCGAUUGUGGAAGGCUUGUACAUGGUAAUCGUGUGUGCGAGCCACCGGUGGACAAGUCCAGUCAAUGGGGCCUCUGGCUUAGGGCCUCCCCGGGGAGAGGCUCUUCAUCUCUGAAGGAUAAAUCACAUAUGGGGGCGUCCAGCUCAUUCAGUGGUGGUGGCUCACACUCGGAGGAUAGGGAGAAAUCCCAGUUUAGUCAUGCAUCUGUAUGA
rnacentral:rRNA from 1 species